AGUGAACGCUGGCGGUAGGCCUAACACAUGCGAGUCGAACGGCAGCACAGUAAGAGCUUGCUCUUACGGGUGGCGAGUGGCGGACGGGUGAGGAAUACAUCGGAAUCUACUUUUUCGUGGGGGAUAACGUAGGGAAACUUACGCUAAUACCGCAUACGACCUACGGGUGAAAGCAGGGGAUCUUCGGACCUUGCGCGAUUGAAUGAGCCGAUGUCGGAUUAGCUAGUUGGCGGGGUAAAGGCCCACCAAGGCGACGAUCCGUAGCUGGUCUGAGAGGAUGAUCAGCCACACUGGAACUGGGACACGGUCCAGACUCCUACGGGAGGCAGCAGUGGGGAAUAUUGGACAAUGAGCGCAAGCCUGAUCCAGCCAUACCGCGUGGGUGAAGAAGGCCUUCGGGUUGUAAAGCCCUUUUGUUGGGAAAGAAAAGCAGCAGGUUAAUACCCCGCUGUUCUGACGGUACCCAAAGAAUAAGCACCGGCUAACUUCGUG
rnacentral:rRNA from 1 species